AUUAAAGAAAACUUCACUUUCCGUCGCACUUAUGUUGUGUUGAUAUUGUGUGCUGCUUUGCUCCAAUUCCGUUGUGUGAAAGUUUCAUUGCCAGAAGUAUAGUCGUUAUGUUUGAAAUCAAUGACAGUUCGUUGAAAUGACGGGGGAACGUUACUGAAAUGUAAAAGAACAGCGUCAUCUUCGUGACACUAAUCGCAGCUCAAAAUAUUUGUUGCAGGUAAUUCCAAGAGGAAAGGAGUGUAAAUUAAAAUGCAUGCAUGAGGUAAAGGUGGGAUUGUACGUCAAGACGUACUCCAUUAUGGAGAAUGCACCGGACUACACGCCUUGCGGAGCCAAGAUGGCGUGCGUAAGGGGUUACUGCGUGUAUGCACCGAACAUUCCGCCAAUGAAUCCCGGAGGAAAAAAGAUAAUUCCUGGCUCUGCCACGUAUCCGCCAAGACAAGCUUCCGCAAAACAAUACCCUUAGAUGAGAAGAUAAAGGAGUUAUUGGCCGCCAAGAGGAAUCCGUUGUAAGACUUUUGUCACAAUAUUAAGUCUGCAGCCGCUGGCAAUACAGAGUACCUUGGAAGAGCGUGGAAGAGCUACAACUCUCCCCUUCCUCCAAAAAUAAUAAAUAACGGUGAUGUAA
rnacentral:lncRNA from 1 species